CCUUUUACUCUACGAGUAACGGGUAUAAAAAUUCAGUUGAAUAGCGCAUAAAUGCUACCCUCUGAAAAAUUAUAAUAUUAUAUCAUAAGCUUUAGUGACUAAAAUAAAUUUUAAGGGAAUAUAAAGCACAAUACAUAAUUUGCGUAAGUCAUUUGUGUGGGUAGAAUAUUUCAAUUCAUAAAACAACAGUGAAGAAAAUAUAAGUCUAUUAACUUUUACUUCCCUUUCUUUAAGGCACUUUUGACUUCUUAUAUCGCCCUGAGAACUUUUCAAGGUUUAUGAGAAAGUCACUAUUGAAAGCAGCAGGGCCGUCAACGCUCAACUUGUUACUAUGAGAUGUAUCCAAAAUGACAGCUGUCACCUGUCUUUCAACAAAUUCUUAACGGAGAUAUUCCGGGUUCAACAUUUUGAUGGCAAAAGUCCCCUAAAUACUAUUAAACUUUGGGUAUGACGAAUUUAAAAAUGACAGUGUACAUAUAUUCUGAUAUAUGAGCUUUUUCAAUAAAAUCUAUUUAAGUUUGUUAUAUCAAGAGAUUGCCAUAAGAGAAAUGGAAUACAUUCAUUUUUCAUCCUCGGCCCAUCUUGGAAAUUAUUAAGCCGUCAAAAGGAACUUGUUUGGAGCUGGCUAUUGCAACGCCCAGUCUAGCGCCCUAGAAUAAGAUCCUUAAAUGCUGAAACUGGAAAUGAGAUUGCGAAACGAGUUUGAUGUAGAAUGUAUCGUUUUUGAUAAAAAAAAAGAAAGGUACAGCUUUAUGAAAAUGUGGUACCAAAACAUAAUUUGGUUUAAACCUAUGUUUCUUAACUUUUGGCUUGCAGACUGUAUUCACCUGAAGCGAAGAACGGUAGGGUUCUCAAAUGUGUUAAUUAACUAUAAUACAUACAUAUAAAUAAAUGAAAAAAAAACGAAUAAAAAUUGAUACAUCACUUAUUAUA